rnacentral:rRNA from 2 species
AUGGCUCAGGACGAACGCUGGCGGCGUGCCUAAUACAUGCAAGUCGAGCGGACAGAUGGGAGCUUGCUCCCUGAUGUUAGCGGCGGACGGGUGAGUAACACGUGGGUAACCUGCCUGUAAGACUGGGAUAACUCCGGGAAACCGGGGCUAAUACCGGAUGGUUGUUUGAACCGCAUGGUUCAAACAUAAAAGGUGGCUUCGGCUACCACUUACAGAUGGACCCGCGGCGCAUUAGCUAGUUGGUGAGGUAACGGCUCACCAAGGCAACGAUGCGUAGCCGACCUGAGAGGGUGAUCGGCCACACUGGGACUGAGACACGGCCCAGACUCCUACGGGAGGCAGCAGUAGGGAAUCUUCCGCAAUGGACGAAAGUCUGACGGAGCAACGCCGCGUGAGUGAUGAAGGUUUUCGGAUCGUAAAGCUCUGUUGUUAGGGAAGAACAAGUACCGUUCGAAUAGGGCGGUACCUGACGUACCUACCAG